rnacentral:tRNA from 1 species
GGGUCUGUAGUUCUAAUGGGAGAACGCUUCUCUUGCAAAGAAGAGGUUGUGGGUUCGACCCCCAUCAGAUCCAC